AACCAGCACUAGUGUUGUCUCCAAGGUCAUUCCCACCAGCAGCUAGUUUCGGGGAAGAGUCUGCAAUCCAAGCUGUUAACUAGACGACAAAUCCAGAGCAGCAGAAAGGGGAGAGCAGCUGGUGAGGCACAUCUGGGGUGCUGCUGAGUACAGGCAAAGCUUUUGGGCCUGCCCUUGCUAACCACAGGGUCCUGUGCCUCAGCCUGCCAUGAGCACAGGGAAUUACACUCAGCAUGCCUGCAGGGAACUGGGAUCCAGCCAGCCCCGAGGCACCCCUUAACCCCCAGCCCACCUCCAGCCCUGCCUGCGUUUAACUCGGCAGCCACAGCCCUCCAGAGGGGUCACAGAAGGACUCCAAGGAGGCUGCCAGGAGUUUCCAUCAGCUCUCUGCCUGCAGCUGCUGACAGAAGCUCAGGUAAGAGGGUGGAGAGAAGCUGUUGGGUUUCACACCUCCAGUGUGACACUGCUCCAAGCUGAACUGUGAGCUCCUUUAUCAGGUUUUGACAGGAGCUGCUGGAAAAUCAGGGGGAGACACCAAAUCAUUUUGGUCACUCACUAACACCCAGGACUUGUCACAGAAGCACACAGCAGCCUGUGCCCCACAGGUACAAAACCCAGUCUUUAGGGGAACACAGGAGGGAGCUGAAGGAAGACAGACUUGAUCACUGUGGUUCAAGGACACAAGAGGGAAGAUCCUUCACAGGGAACUUGAGUGUUUGGAGAAGAUCACUGUGGUCCUGGGAGGAAAAUACCU